rnacentral:rRNA from 1 species
UACGUAGGCAGCAAGCGUUGUUCGGAAUUACUGGGCGUAAAGAGUGUGUAGGCGGUGCUCUAAGUUCGGUGUGAAAUCUCCUGGCUUAACUGGGAGGGUGCGCCGGAAACUGGAGUGCUCGAGCGUGGGAGAGGAAAGCGGAAUUCCUGGUGUAGCGGUGAAAUGCGUAGAUAUCAGGAGGAACACCUGCGGUGUAGACGGCUUUCUGGACCAUAGCUGACGCUGAGGAGCGAAAGCGUGGGGAGCGAACAGG